rnacentral:rRNA from 1 species
CUACGGGGGGCUGCAGUGAGGAAUAUUGCACAAUGGGGGGAACCCUGAUGCAGCACCUCCGCGUGGAGGAUGACGCAUUUCGGUGUGUAAACUCCUUUUAUAUGUCAAGAAAAUGACGGUAGCAUAUGAAUAAGCACCGGCUAACUCCGUGCCAGCAGCCGCGGUAAUACGGAGGGUGCAAGCGUUACUCGGAAUCACUGGGCGUAAAGGACGCGUAGGCGGGUUGGAAAGUCGGGUGUGAAAUCCUACAGCUUAACUGUAGAACUGCACUUGAAACUUCUAAUCUAGAGUAUGGGAGGGGGAGAUGGAAUUAGUGGUGUAGGGGUAAAAUCCGUAGAUAUCACUAGGAAUACCUAAAGCGAAGGCGAUCUCCUGGAACAUUACUGACGCUAAGGCGUGAAGGCGUGGGGAGCAAACAGGAUUAGAUACCCGGGUAGUC